UAAAUUCCAAAUCCGGGGGACCCCCAGUGGGAGGGCGUUUUUGGUCAUAUUACCCUUGGAGCCGAAACCUGGGGAAACAACCAGAAUAGAAACCCUGUAUUGCACGCCGUAAACGUUGGUAUAGGUUGGGCGUCCCGAAUAACGGAAUGCCUGUCCCGAAGCUAACCGCAAUAGGACCCCGCUUUGGGAGUUACCGGCCGCCAGGGCUUAAACCCCAAAGGAAUUGACGGGGUCCCCGCACCAGGCGGCGGAAGCAUUCGGCUUAAUUCGAUGCAAACCCGAAGAACCCUUACCUGGGGCUUGACAUCAUGGGGAAAAGCCGUGGAAACACGGUGUCCAUUAGGGCCCAUGACAGGUGGUGCAUGGCUGUCGUCAGCUCGUGUCGUGAGAUGUUGGGUUAAGUCCCGCAACGAGCGCAACCCUUGUCCUUAUGUUGCCAGCGGUUUCGGCCGGGGACUCAUAGGAGACUGCCGGGGACAACUCGGAGGAAGGUGAGGACGACGUCAAGUCAUCAUGCCCCUUAUGUCCAGGGCUGCACGCAUGCUACAAUGGCCGGUACAAUAGGCUGCGACCCCGCGAGGGUAAGCCAAUCCUAAAAGCCGGCCUCAGUUCGGAUUGGAGUCUGCAACUCGACUCCAUGAAGUCGGAGUCGCUAGUAAUCGCGGAUCAGCAAAGCCGCGGUGAAUGCGUUCUCGGGGAUUGCUACA
rnacentral:rRNA from 1 species